UACGGGGGGGGCAAGCGUUGUUCGGAAUUACUGGGCGUAAAGGGCUCGUAGGUGGCCAACUAAGUCGGACGUGAAAUCCCUCGGCUUAACCGGGGAACUGCGUCUGAUACUGGAUGGCUUGAGUUCGGGAGAGGGAUGCGGAAUUCCAGGUGUAGCGGUGAAAUGCGUAGAUAUCUGGAGGAACACCGGUGGCGAAGGCGGCAUCCUGGACCGGUAUUGACGCUGAGGCGCGAAAGCCAGGGGAGCAAACGGG
rnacentral:rRNA from 1 species